UACGUAGGGGGCAAGCGUUGUCCGGAAUCAUUGGGCGUAAAGAGCGUGUAGGCGGCCAGACAAGUCCGCUGUGAAAACUCGAGGCUCAACUUCGAGCUGUCGGUGGAAACUUUCUGGCUAGAGUCCGGAAGAGGAGAUUGGAAUUCACGGUGUAGCAGUGAAAUGCGUAGAUAUCGUGAGGAAGACCAGUGGCGAAGGCGGAUCUCUGGGCAGUUCCUGACACUGAGGCACGAAGGCCAGGGGAGCAAACGGG
rnacentral:rRNA from 1 species